rnacentral:tRNA from 1 species
GUUUGUGUGGCUCAGUUGGUAGAGCAUGGCACUUGCAAUGCCAGGGUUGUGGGUUUGAUUCCCACGGAGGACC